rnacentral:lncRNA from 1 species
GGGAUAUCCGUUGGAAAAAAUUCACACAAAAUUUGAAUUUUCCUUUACUCCUUUUCGAUAUCAACAUUGAAAGGGGAUGGGAAAAAUAGUGACUUCCGCGAAAAGAGGACGACGAAGUGAUAGAUUAGGUUAAUAGGGUUAUGGGUUUGUAGAUGGGUGUCGAGAUUUCCGGGUUGCAAGCGCGAUUUGCUCGAUGGAUUUCGAUUUUUGCG